rnacentral:tRNA from 1 species
AGGGUUGUAUUUUAAUUGGCAAAAUUCUAGGCUACGGACCUCGCGAUCGUAGUUCAAAUCUACGCAGCCCUG